GACGAACGCUGGCGGCGUGCUUAACACAUGCAAGUCGAACGGAAAGGCCCUGCUUUUGUGGGGUGCUCGAGUGGCGAACGGGUGAGUAACACGUGAGUAACCUGCCCUUGACUUUGGGAUAACUUCAGGAAACUGGGGCUAAUACCGGAUAGGAGCUCCUGCUGCAUGGUGGGUGUUGGAAGGUUUCGGGGGUUGGGGAUGGACUCGCGGCUUAUCAGCUUGUUGGUGGGGUAGUGGCUUACCAAGGCUUUGACGGGUAGCCGGCCUGAGAGGGUGACCGGCCACAUUGGGACUGAGAUACGGCCCAGACUCCUACGGGAGGCAGCAGUGGGGAAUAUUGCACAAUGGGCGGAAGCCUGAUGCAGCAACGCCGCGUGCGGGAUGACGGCCUUCGGGUUGUAAACCGCUUUCGCCUGUGACGAAGCGUGAGUGACGGUAAUGGGUAAAGAAGCACCGGCUAACUACGUG
rnacentral:rRNA from 1 species